UAGGGAAUCUUCGGCAAUGGGGGGAACCCUGACCGAGCAACGCCGCGUGAGUGAAGAAGGUUUUCGGAUCGUAAAGCUCUGUUGUUAAGGAAGAACGAGUGUGAGAAUGGAAAGUUCAUGCUGUGACGGUACUUAACCAGAAAGGGACGGCUAACUACGUGCCAGCAGCCGCGGUAAUACGUAGGUCCCGAGCGUUGUCCGGAUUUAUUGGGCGUAAAGCGAGCGCAGGCGGUUAGAAAAGUCUGAAGUGAAAGGCAGUGGCUCAACCAUUGUAGGCUUUGGAAACUGUUUAACUUGAGUGCAGAAGGGGAGAGUGGAAUUCCAUGUGUAGCGGUGAAAUGCGUAGAUAUUGGGAGGAACACCAGUAGCGAAGGCGACUUUCUGGACUGCAACUGACACUGAGGCACGAAAGCGUGGGUAGCAAACAGG
rnacentral:rRNA from 1 species